rnacentral:rRNA from 1 species
UACGGAGGGAGCUAGCGUUGUUCGGAAUUACUGGGCGUAAAGCGCACGUAGGCGGCUUUGUAAGUUAGAGGUGAAAGCCUGGAGCUCAACUCCAGAAUUGCCUUUAAGACUGCAUCGCUCGAAUCCGGGAGAGGUGAGUGGAAUUCCCAGUGUAGAGGUGAAAUUCGUAGAUAUUGGGAAGAACACCGGUGGCGAAGGCGACUGACUGGACAUGUAUUGACGCUGAGGUGCGAAAGCGUGGGGAGCAAACAGG